GACGAACGCUGGCGGCGUGCUUAACACAUGCAAGUCGAGCGGUAAGGCCCUUUCGGGGGUACACGAGCGGCGAACGGGUGAGUAACACGUGGGUGACCUGCCCUCAGCUCUGGGAUAAGCCAGGGAAACCGGGUCUAAUACUGGAUAUGACUCCAUGACGCAUGUUGUGGGGUGGAAAGCCUUGUGCGGCUGAGGAUGGGCCCGCGGCCUAUCAGCUUGUUGGUGGGGUGAUGGCCUACCAAGGCGACGACGGGUAGCCGGCCUGAGAGGGCGACCGGCCACACUGGGACUGAGACACGGCCCAGACUCCUACGGGAGGCAGCAGUGGGGAAUCUUGCGCAAUGGGCGAAAGCCUGACGCAGCGACGCCGCGUGAGGGAUGACGGCCUGGU
rnacentral:rRNA from 1 species